AGCGAACGCUGGCGGCAGGCCUAACACAUGCCAGUCGAACGAACCUUUCGGGGUUAGUGGCGGACGGGUGAGUAACACGUGGGAACGUGCCUUUAGGUUCGGAAUAACUCAGGGAAACUUGUGCUAAUACCGAAUGUGCCCUUCGGGGGAAAGAUUUAUCGCCUUUAGAGCGGCCCGCGUCUGAUUAGCUAGUUGGUUGAGGUAAUGGCUCACCAAGGCGACGAUCAGUAGUUGGUCUGUGAGGAUGAUCAGCCACAUUGGGACUGGGACACGGCCCAAACUCCUACGGGAGGCAGCAGUGGGGAAUCUUGCGCAAUGGGCGAAAGCCUGACGCAGCCAUGCCGCGUGAAUGAUGAAGGUCUUAGGAUUGUAAAAUUCUUUCACCGGGGACGAUAAUGACGGUACCCGGAGAAGAAGCCCCGGCUAACUUCGUG
rnacentral:rRNA from 1 species